rnacentral:miRNA from 1 species
CACAAGAAUCUAAAGUUGCCAGCAUGAUCUGUGAAUACCACAGCUUAUAAAAUACACGCUGCACUGUGUUUAAACAGGUCUGUGUGACACAGCUUUCACUUGGA